AGAAAAGAAAAAAUUUUUCAGACCUUUCUUCUCAACUCUCUCUCUCUCAGACCCACCACCCAUCGGAUCUUUCUCUGAUCCAAAACCCUAAUUUAUAAUCCUAUUAAACUCUGUAUCCAAAACCCUAAUCAAAAUUCUAUUGGAUUAAGUUCUCAGAUCAAUCACUCACAGAUCCAGUCUCCUUUGAUCCUUCAUAUAGCUGCUUCAUUCAUCUGUGCAG
rnacentral:misc_RNA from 1 species